rnacentral:lncRNA from 1 species
ACACGCACAAACACACAUUUUAAAGGUAGAAACCCAUCAUUACCAUGAAACUCUGCCAGUCCCCCCUUUUGGCAAAUGAUCAAAAGCUGCUUCAACAGCUUGCUUCAGCUCCCCAACGGUCCCCUUGUUACUCACAUCAACUCCUUCACAACAAAAUCUUUCACACUUAACUAUAUCUCAAAUUCACAAUUCAUAUUCUCACAUACUCAAAUAAAAGGCAAACACUCGUCCAUUUCUAUGAAACCGCAAGCAAUCAUAAGCAUAACUGUAAUCAAAACAAAAAUAGAGAAGCAUAAUUGUAAAAUAUCUUUUUGGUCUUCUUCUAAUGCCACUUAAUCGUAUCACAAUUGCACACAAGAAAUUAUUUAUAAGAUUCAACUUCAAAGUUAGGACAAAUUGUGGAAGAAGCACAGACCAUUACUGAUCACAAGUUAUCUAAUCUCGAAAAGAACUUGAGAUUUUUACCUCAAACCAAAAAUUUAGCCUAGGAUUCUGGCCUUUUCCUCACCCCAUUUGCUGUCUGGAACAGAACAACAAACACUUAAUGCAAAAGCUCAUCCCUAGCAUUAGAAGCAUAGACACAUGAUGAAGAUUAUCAACAAUUGAAGCAUAUAUGACAUAAUUAUACACGAUUAUCUCUCUGCUAAGAAUAACUUCGCUUCUCAAGGGGAAGAAAAGAAAACAUAAUCAAGGAAAAAACAAUUACCUGAUUUUGGGCUAGGGUUUUGAAUUAGGGGCUCUGCUUCUGAGAGGGCGAGCUAGGCGAAGCCAAGACAGGCGGAGAAGGCGGCGGGUGGAAAGCUUUUUCACCGAUGGGGGAGGGAGGCGACGCCUAGGGUUAGCAAUGAGGACAGGGGUCGCGAGAGCGGGGGUGCGGUGCCUGAGGUUAGCGACGAAGACAUUGGCGGCGAGAUUGGGGACGAGGCGUGGCCGGCGGCGCUGGUCACGGCGCUUAGGGUUCGCGACAAUGAGAGGGGCGGCGAGUCGUUGGGCGCAGCAUGGCAGCCGGUGCGGGUAGCCACGCCUAAGAUUAGCAGACAGAGGAGAGGGGGCGGCGAGAUGGGGGGGCGCGGCGUGGCAGGCAGAGCGGAUUGCGGCGGCGAGAUGGUGGUCGCGGCGUGGCAGGCGAGUUGAGAGUUUGGGAACAAGAAAGGGGGUUGCGAUUUGGGGUUAGGGAUUUUAAUUUUGGGAAUUUUUAAUUGAUAAUUAUUUAAAUAAAUUAAUAAAAAGACUACAAAUUUUUAAGUCUUUUAACAAGUGUUUUUUAAAAGCGUGGUCGUAAAAUAACUAUGACCACGCUCCAAA